UGUGUAUUAGUGUUUUGCCUGAAUG
rnacentral:piRNA from 1 species